rnacentral:rRNA from 2 species
UGGGGAAUUUUGGACAAUGGGCGCAAGCCUGAUCCAGCAAUGCCGCGUGAGUGAAGAAGGCCUUCGGGUUGUAAAGCUCUUUCAGUUGAGAAGAAAAGAUUGUAACUAAUAAUUGCGAUCCAUGACGGUAUCAACAGAAGAAGCACCGGCUAACUACGUG